GUUAUAGAGUCAAGUGACUAAGUGCAUGAGGUGGAUGCCUUGGCGAUUACAGGCGAUGAAAGACGCGAUAGCCUGCGAAAAGCUCCGGGGAGCUGGCAAAUAAGCUUUGAUCCGGAGGUCUCUGAAUGGGGAAACCCACCCGCAAGGGUACCUGUCUCUGAAUACAUAGGGGGCAAGGAGCGAACGUGGUGAACUGAAACAUCUAAGUAGCCAUAGGAACAGAAAUCAACCGAGAUUCCCAGAGUAGUGGCGAGCGAAAUGGGAACAGCCUGCAACUUUUAGCAUCUGUGUUAGCAAAAUGGUUUGGAAAAGCCAGCGAUAGUGGGUGAUAGCCCCGUAUGCGAAAACAUGGAUGUAGAACUAAGGUUGCGACAAGUAGGGCGGGACACGUGAAAUCCUGUCUGAAGAUGGGGGGACCAUCCUCCAAGGCUAAAUACUCGUAAUCGACCGAUAGUGAACCAGUACCGUGAGGGAAAGGCGAAAAGAACCCCGGGAGGGGAGUGAAAUAGAUCCUGAAACCGCAUGCAUACAAACAGUCGGAGCCCUGCUUAAUUGGUCUUUACCCCGAAGUUCUUUGUUGUCCGAGCGCGCAUCGCAAGAUGCGGGCGAGACGCAACAAAAGAUAUUUGAGGGGAGUGAAGAGCGAGAGCUUUUAGUUGAUUGAACAGAGAGAUAGGCGUACUGGACACGAGAGUGGACAGAGCCGUCACCCUGCUCAAUUGGCUGAAGGCCAAUUGAGCAGGGUGACGGCGUACCUUUUGUAUAAUGGGUCAGCGACUUACGUUGUGUUGCGAGCUUAACCGAAUAGGGAAGGCGUAGCGAAAGCGAGUCUGAUAAGGGCGAUUAGUAGCACGGCGUAGACCCGAAACCGGAUGAUCUAUCCAUGGCCAGGAUGAAGGUGCCGUAACAGGUACUGGAGGUCCGAACCCACUAACGUUGAAAAGUUAGGGGAUGAGCUGUGGAUAGGGGUGAAAGGCUAAACAAAUCCGGAAAUAGCUGGUUCUCUCCGAAAACUAUUUAGGUAGUGCCUCAAGUAUCACCAUCGGGGGUAGAGCACUGUAUUGGCUAGGGGGCCGUUUAGGUCUACCAAACCAAAGCAAACUGCGAAUACCGAUGAGUGCGAGCUUGGGAGACAGACACCGGGUGCUAACGUCCGGUGUCGAAAGGGAAACAACCCAGACCGACAGCUAAGGUCCCAAAGCAUGGUUAAGUGGAAAACGAAGUGGGAAGGCGAAGACAGUCAGGAAGUUGGCUUAGAAGCAGCCAUCCUUUAAAGAAAGCGUAAUAGCUCACUGAUCGAGUCGUCCUGCGCGGAAGAUGUAACGGGGCUAAACCAUGCACCGAAGCUUCGGAUUUGUACGCUCCACUUUAAUUUAUUGGCACAAGCUUGUUGCUGGUUCGCGGAGCGAAUCACGCAACAAAGCGACCAUCACUAAUCGAGUUAUCGCCUGAUUGUGGUGGGGUAGCUUGUUGCUGGUUCGCGGAGCGAAUCACGCAACAAAGCGACCAUCACUAAUCGAGUUAUCGCCUGAUUGUGGUGGGGUAGCUUGUUGCUGGUUCGCGGAGCGAAUCACGCAACAAAGCGACCAUCACUGAUCGAGGUUUGAUUGGUGGUGGGGCUAGUGAAUUAAAGGGAGCGUACAGAUGGUAGGAGAGCGUUCUCUAGGCCUGAGAAGGUGUCUUGUAAGGGAUGCUGGAGGUAUGAGAAGUGCGAAUGCUGACAUGAGUAGCGAUAAAGGGAGUGAAAAGCUCCCUCGCCGAAAGCCCGAGGUUUCCUGCGCAACGUUCAUCGGCGCAGGGUGAGUCGGCCCCUAAGGAGAGGGCGAAAGCCGUAUCUGAUGGGAAACUGGUUAAUAUUCCAGUACCGUUAUCCAAUGCGAUGUGGGGACGGAGAAGGUUAGGCAAGCCGGGUGUUGGACGUCCCGGUUGAAGCGUGUAGGCGUGGUUUCUAGGCAAAUCCGGAGAUCUUAGCUGAGGCGUGAUAACGAGGUACUUCGGUACUGAAGUUGCUGAUACCAAGCUUCCAGGAAAAGCCACUAAGCUUCAGUUGGAUAAGACCGUACCGCAAACCGACACAGGUGGGCAGGAUGAAAAUUCUAAGGCGCUUGAGAGAACUCAGGAGAAGGAACUCGGCAAAUUGACACCGUAACUUCGGAAGAAGGUGUGCCUUGAUAAGGUGUAGAGACUUGCUCUCGAAGCCGUAAGAGGUUGCAGAGAAUCGGUGGCUGCGACUGUUUAACAAAAACACAGCACUCUGCUAAGACGAUGAGUCGACGUAUAGGGUGUGACGCCUGCCCGGUGCCGGAAGGUUAAAUGAUGGGGUGCAAGCUCUUGAUUGAAGCCCCGGUAAACGGCGGCCGUAACUAUAACGGUCCUAAGGUAGCGAAAUUCCUUGUCGGGUAAGUUCCGACCCGCACGAAUGGCGUAACGAUGGCCACACUGUCUCCUCCUGAGACUCAGCGAAGUUGAAAUGUUUGUGAAGAUGCAAUCUCCCCGCGGCUAGACGGAAAGACCCCAUGCACCUUUACUGUAGCUUUACAUUGGACUGUGACACGGCCUGUGUAGGAUAGCUGGGAGCCUAUGAAGUGGGGACGCUAGUUCUCAUGGAGGCGACGUUGAAAUACCAGCCUGGUAGUGUUGCGGUUCUAACCUGGCCCCCUGAUCGGGGGUGGGGACCGUGUAUGGUAGGCAGUUUGACUGGGGCGGUCUCCUCCCAAAGAGUAACGGAGGAGUGCGAAGGUAACCUAGGUACGGUCGGACAUCGUACUGAUAGUGCAAUGGCAUAAGGUUGCUUGACUGCGAGACUGACAAGUCGAGCAGGUGCGAAAGCAGGUCAUAGUGAUCCGGUGGUUCUGAAUGGAAGGGCCAUCGCUCAACGGAUAAAAGGUACGCUGGGGAUAACAGGCUGAUUCCUCCCAAGAGUUCAUAUCGACGGGGGAGUUUGGCACCUCGAUGUCGGCUCAUCACAUCCUGGGGCUGUAGCCGGUCCCAAGGGUAUGGCUGUUCGCCAUUUAAAGUGGUACGUGAGCUGGGUUCAAAACGUCGUGAGACAGUUUGGUCCCUAUCUGCCGUGGGCGUUGGAAAUUUGACGGGGGCUGCUCCUAGUACGAGAGGACCGGAGUGGACGUACCGCUGGUGUACCUGUUGUUUCGCCAGAAGCAUCGCAGGGUAGCUAAGUACGGAAGAGAUAACCGCUGAAAGCAUCUAAGCGGGAAACUUGCCUGAAGAUAAGAUUUCCCGGGGGUUUAACCCCCUUGAAGGGUCGUUCGAGACCAGGACGUUGAUAGGCACCGUGUGGAAGCGCAGUAAUGCGUUAAGCUAAGGUGUACUAAUUGCCCGUAAGGCUUGACUCUAUAACG
rnacentral:rRNA from 1 species